UGAAAAAAACAACAAAUUUCUGAGAGGCCGUCGGACAUAUGGCAGCAUCUUUUCAUCAUUACUGAGCUCAGUCGGAGUCAAACUGAUAAUUUAGAGAGAAAAGACUUCCUACAGCAUGAGAAAUCCUCAGAGCCAUCUAGUCCUCAGUUGUUAUAAUGCCAGUUGUUAUAGUCCCCUCCAGACUGCAUGAUUUAAAAACAAACAAAAAAAAACAAAAAAACAGCUGGUUCAAAAUACCGUUCAGAAGAGGCACAAAAAUAUAUUCUAAACACUACCAGGAGUAGAACUGGCAUCAGACUCUGGUUAAGAAGAGAGAAUGGAAAAAAUAGGGGGCAAGCUACCACACUAAGGCCCCCACCACAUUACAAGUAAAUGGAGUCUGAGAACUAGCACCUCUUUAGACAGAUUAGGAGGACAUGCAAUUGGAAAUCCCUCCUGAAGUCAUCAAGAUUCAGGGCAGCUCUAUGCUACUACAAUUGGAAACAAUCAGUCAAAAGCUGGAUGCCAAAAAGCAUAUUUUGCAUAAAACUCCAAGAGAAAUAUUAUUCAAAGAAGUAUUGUAGGCAUGUUUCCUUUUUCACAUGUUGAUUCUAACUGAACCAUUUCCAGGUGCUUUUUAUCCACGAUUACAAAGAUGACAUGUUAGAAGGAAAAGUGUAAACCCAGAGAUAACAAGACAAAUGCAAACUCUGUGAAGCAAACUUGAACUCACUGAUUCAUGAGAGGAAGAACAGAUAUAAAAAUUAGUGAAAGCUGCUUGCCUUUUUUCACGGCCUGAUGUAUUCUGCUUUGAAAUCUGGAACUGCAAACAGAGAAGAACAGACGAGUCCACUUCUAGAGAUAAGCUAUCAGCAGCAAGACAGCUUCCCUUCUCUUGCUGCCGUCCUGCAGUUUCUCUAAAAAUGCAACAGACCCUCAAAAAGGAUUGAAUUACCUGUGGAAACCCAUUGUCAAGGCACUGUCAAAUUGCUAAUUUCACAAUCUCAGAAUGAGACUUGAACUGCAGGGAAUUAUGAAAAGCAGCCAUCCAUUUCUCUUUGACAGUUGUCAGUUCCCACAUACAUUAUUUUGUUACUUAU